rnacentral:rRNA from 1 species
UACGUCAAUUGUUAUUAUUCAUAUUAAUUUUUUUAAUUGUUUUUUAUUUUAAUAUUAGUUUAUUUAUAAAAAAAUAAAGGUAAAAUUUUAGGAAUAGUUAAUAUUAAUUUAUAAUUUUGAUUAGAUUACUUUGUUAAUGCUAUUUAUAAGGGUGUGGAAAAAGUGAAAAAUAAAAGAAAAAUAAAAUAAUAAAAAAAAUAAUACUAACCUGUCAGAAAUGGAUGCCAGCCGUUGCGGUAAUUUCUAUGCUUUUAAAUAUUAUACAAUUAUCUUUAAUUACUUUGUUACUAAUUAUUUUAGUCAAAAAAACAAAAACAAAACAAUCAUUUGUUUUUAAACACCAAAAGGUAUAUGCAAAUAUAAAAUUAUAGUAAUUAUUAAUUAUAUUAUAUUAUAUUUAUUCACAUAAUUAGCAAUAAAGCAUUAAAAUAUUUUGACACCAUGAUAAGGCCCUAGUAUGAAAUUGAAAAUUUUAUAUUCAAAAUUAAUUAAUUAUAUUAAAUAAGAAAAAAUAGAUAAAACAAUAAAUUUAAAAGGUAUUGUUGCCCA